rnacentral:rRNA from 1 species
GACGAACGCUGGCGGCGUGCUUAACACAUGCAAGUCGAACGAAGUGGCGAACGGGUGAGUAACGCGUAAUCAACCUGCCCUUCAGAGGGGGACAACAGUUGGAAACGACUGCUAAUACCGCAUACUGAUGGCGGGGAUUGCGUCGGAGUGGCUAUUUGGAGGGGUAACGGCCCACCAAGGCGAUGAUCAGUAGCCGGUCUGGAGGGAUGAACGGCAACAUUGGGACGGCGACACGGCCCAGACUCCUAAGGGAGGCAGCAGUGGGGAAUCUUCCGCAAUGGACGAAAGUCUGACGGAGCAACGCCGCCUGAGUGAUGACGGCCUUCGGGUUGUAAAGCUCUGUUAAUCGGGACGCGGUACCGGAAUAGAAAGCCACGGCUAACUACGUGCCAGCAGCCGCGGUAAUUC